GAUGAACGCUGGCGGCGUGCCUAAUACAUGCAAGUCGAGCGAACGGACGAGAAGCUUGCUUCUCUGAUGUUAGCGGCGGACGGGUGAGUAACACGUGGAUAACCUACCUAUAAGACUGGGAUAACUUCGGGAAACCGGAGCUAAUACCGGAUGAUAUUUUGAACCGCAUGGUUCAAAAGUGAAAGACGGUCUUGCUGUCACUUAUAGAUGGAUCCGCGCUGCAUUAGCUAGUUGGUAAGGUAACGGCUUACCAAGGCAACGAUGCAUAGCCGACCUGAGAGGGUGAUAGGCCACCCGGGAACGGGGACACGGUCCAGAGUCCUACGGGAGGCAGCAGUAGGGAAUCGUACACAAUGGGCGAAAGCCUGACGGAGCAACGCCGCGUGAGUGAUGAAGGUCUUCGGAUCGUAAAACUCUGUUAUUAGGGAAGAACAUAUGUGUAAGUAACUGUGCACAUCUUGACGGUACCUAAUCAGAAAGCCACGGCUAACUACGUG
rnacentral:rRNA from 1 species